rnacentral:lncRNA from 1 species
CACCAUCUCUCUAGCUGCAACGCAACCCCACCCCGCGUCUUCUUUGCUUAGGGGGUCCUCCCACCCAAACUCCUGGCUUCUUCCCAGUGUCCAUCUCUGGAGACAGCUGCUCCACCCUGCUUUCUGUGUGUCCCCCAUCCUCUCCGCAGCCCCCAGUGUCUCCAACUCCUUACCCAGGUUUGGACCACGAGCCACGCCACUCUUUGGCCCAGACCCGGGCCAUGGCGGGUGGGUGGGCUCCAGGGGAAUGCAAGAAGGGAGGAGUGCUGUGUCCGGCCAGCAGCAAGACCAAGUGACAGUGAAGACUAGGAGUCCGCAGUGUGGGAGCAAGAACUGAGCGUCCAGCGCCCGGCGAGCAGGUGCCUGUGGCGCGGAGCGCACCAGGGAACCAGCAGGCAGUGGCCGUGCCGACCGAGGUCAAAAGGACCCUCCAACCUAGACUGGAGUUUCAGCAGUUGUAAGCCAGCUGACAUGGGUACUGGGAAUUGAACUUCGUGUUCCUCUGGAAGAGCUGUGAGUACUCUUCACCACUGAGCCAUCUCUCCGGCCCUGACCUGUUUCUUACUUAUCUUGUCAGCUCAUAAACCUGUACAACAUACCUCUCAUUUACU